AAGAUAUUUGCUGCAGAUUUCAGCGCGCGUGGUUAAGGAGUGGCUCCGUGGUCACCGCCCCCUUGAGGAUGGGAAUUGAAAGAGUCAUCCCGGAGGAAAAAACAGAAUUGUCCUAUGAAUAUGGAUAUAUGAUCUUUAACUCAGAUACUGAAAGCCUCACCAGGUGGGAGAAUUUAACUGUAUGCUGUCCACAAGCACUUAGACACUAGACCAGUUGGAGCCUGAAGGUUGAU